rnacentral:rRNA from 1 species
AAAUUGAAGAGUUUGAUCAUGGCUCAGAUUGAACGCUGGCGGCAGGCCUAACACAUGCAAGUCGAACGGUAACAGAAAGCAGCUUGCUGCUUUGCUGACGAGUGGCGGACGGGUGAGUAAUGUCUGGGAAACUGCCUGAUGGAGGGGGAUAACUACUGGAAACGGUAGCUAAUAUCGCAUAACGUCGCAAGACCAAAGAGGGGGACCUU